CAAAACUAUGUAUAAGGUAUUAGAAGCACAGCAAAUAAAAUUUUCCACUAUCCAUUUCCAUCAUUGUGCGUUGAGGAAACUUCAAGCUAACAUCCAGUAAUAAAUGCAGCUUAAACCUAUCACUCCAUUCCUGUGCUAACUUAAUAAUUUAGUAUGGACAAUGCUUAACAAAAUACGCUGCAACUUAUUUUGCAUGCAAAGGAACCCCAACCCACGUGAUGACAAAAGUUAUUCAGCCAUUUUAUCUCCCGAGUCCAUUAAGGUUGAGUGCUUGAAAUGUCAGGCUGAAUUGGAUGAGUUUGUGCCUUAAUUUAUACGAACAUUGCUUCUUUUCGUAGCAAGUCCACGCAUUUGCUGUGCAGUGGGAGGAAUUGUUGUGAGCUUGGAUGGAUUUUGAGAUGACUGAGCAGGUUGGGUUGGUCGAGUCAUGAAUUGCUCAAGAGCAGCAGCAUAAGCCUGGCCUUUGAGGCUUCCCCUCAUCCUGCCUGUGGGCCGCCAGUUUUCUGUUGAUGCAAAUGCCCCCGAGGUUUCAGCCACUGGGACUGGCUGUACAGUCCCAACAGCACUCCUCCGCUCAACAGUUGUUCUAUUAUGCUGAGCACCCGUGUUAUGAGUCAAGGAGUAUCUUGCUCCAGAUGCUUGGAGUUGAACUGCCACAAAUGGCGGUGUUCUUGUCAUCUCGGACAUUGGUUGUGAAGGUGUCCUUUGGGGAGGUCGAUUGUUAUUUACAGUACCUGCCACUUGAUUGGCACUAACUCUUUGAUGAAACUGGAUUUGUGCCUCAACUGAAGGAUGGACCGUGUUUUGAGAUGGAAUUGUGGCUUGAGUAGUCCUUGUGCUAGAAAGAUAGGAAUACUGUGGAGCUUGGAACAUAUUUUGAGAGGGGCAUGUAGCAUUUGCCCCCAUGCUAGAAGAACUGCAAUGCUGUGUGAAUUGGUAGCAUGGAGGCAGUCUAUGGGAUUGGGAGCUGCUCGAAGCAAAUGGAACUUCUGUGGGACCAUUGAGAACCUGCUGGACUACUUGAUCAGAAACACGGCAACUUCCACUACCCUCCCAGUUCUCCAUUGACAAAGUAAAUAGUGUUAGAAGGCAAAAAUGCUAAAGAAGCUCACGAAAAGCUUCUUUUCCUUUUCCUAUCUAAAGUUCUGAACCUUACCUAAAGCAUUUGGCUAAAAACAAGAUUCACAGAAUGAAUAAAGAGAAACUGAAAAUAGUUUAUCACAGCUGCUUGCAACAGAUGAAGAGCAAAAUUGGACCAUAUGGCUAUGUAAUUAAAAUGUGAAUCCCAUCAAGAGAGACAAGAAAAAGUGACUUACCUGUGUCAAUAAAUUAUUUAGUGUCAAAGAUGAAGCCACAUCUGAGACUGGCAAAGAACUUACAGGCACUCUACCAAACUGUUGACCUCUUUCUGUGCUCCCAUUGCAAGUGAUCCCAACAUCAAGUGGCACUAAAGGCAUGUUCUGGUAAGAGGCAAAAGAGGCUCUAUUUGGCAUCCAGGAAAUUAGAUUUCUCAUUUGUUCAGAUGGCCUUGAACACUGGGCUUGGUUUGGGAAGUUCAUAGUUGUGACUGAAACUCUAUUUGCAUUUUUUCCAUAUUCAUUAUUUGCAAUCGAGCUAUCAGCCCUGAACUGAUGCAAGUGGACAUUAUUGUUAUCUAAAACUCGGUCAUGUGAUAGAGAAGGGGGCACCUGAUUUCCUUCAAUUACAAAAACAGAUUCUUGAUUCAAUACAGGAGAAACAAAAUUAGUGUGGGCAGAUGGAAGUGUAGGAGUGAAAUGAGGAAAGUCAGAUAUUCCAGCUGUUGUACUGCCAACCAUGCUUGGACUAGGGACUGCUGAACUACAAGGAGUAGAAAGCAUUGAUGAUAGAAUUUUUGAACUUUCCCCUAUUUGCACAGGAGCAUUUUGAAGUGCGCCACCUGGGUUGUUUGCUUCUGAUGAUACAAGAUUUUCAGAAACAGGAAAAUGGAAAAGAUUAUCCUGGAAACGUUCCUUGCCUUCACUUUCCAGGGUGCCCAUACUGUGACUAGCAUCAGCCUGUUUCAUCUUAAGAUCGGUGACAUUGGCUGGGACAGAUGAAAACCCACUAGAACCAUGCACUUCAGGCCUUUCUCCUUGACAACCUUGGGUUCUGCCAUAUGCUUGAUCUAUAUUGUCAUCACUACCAACAACCUUCCAAGAACCAUCUGCUGAGACUAUCACAUCAACAACAUUCUCUCUAACCUCCCUCAAGAUCUGAAAAUGUAAUAUGGGUUUAACUGGAAAUUUGAAAAUGAAAAGUAGUAUUAUCCAAAAUUAAUUACCUUGGCUAUGUUUUGAUCCAUGCGUAUGUCUAUGCAACAGACAGACUGGUUACAAACAGGGCAACACCAUGAAGGCCUUGUUGAGUUUAGUAUCAUGAAACUCUCAUAGUCAAAACACUAGAUCAUGUCAAUAAAAGCAUUUUAGAAAAAGAAUUUGACUAUAAGGAUAUCUAGGACAGUAAAAUCAAGCAACUGCAAGCAAAAACAUAAAUCUUUUUCAAGCCAUUACCGUUAAUUCUCUGGCAAAAAUUUCAGUGUGUUUUACUUUUUUCUUUUAGCACCAUAUAGAGCUACUAUAACUUAAAAAUUGUAAGUCAUCAGAUGAUAAAACAAAUGAGAUUGUGCAGUAAUCCAGAAAUUACUCAGCAUUUGCAUCUGCUCUACAGCUCUCAUGUAACUACAUCAUGAUAUUUUACAAGUGUGUUACAUAGAGCAUUAACUUACGAGUCAACUACUCUAUUGUUACACUUAACACUUGACAGCCUAAUAAGAAUUUCAGUGGGGUGAAUAGAGUGAAGCUUGGUAGUCUAGCCACAGCAAUGCAAUAUUAAUGGGUAUAAUUUGAGGGGGGGAAAAAAGGAAAGAAUCUUGCCUCUACCGAACGAAAAAAUUAUACCAGAAUGACGCAUAAUUGAAGAGUUUUCAUGUACAAAAACUUGUCCAAGUCAGACAAGCAAACUCAUGCAAUUUGAUCAUGUUGGUGUUAAACCAUUCAGCAAAACAAGUUCAGUGAUGUUUUGUCCUCAUCAAGUUAACUAUACUAAAUUAAUUAUUUAAAUUGCACAAUAUCACAGGCUGGCCUCAGCUUAACCUAAUAUUUUCAACAUCAUAGCAAAGAUUAAUAUUGGAUCUGCCUAUAGAAGUCUAACCUGAUAAUGUUUGCAGCAAUGUCCCUUGACAGGAGUUCUGAUACGUCUUUUACUUAUUGGGCAGUUUAGAGAAACCUGUGAUGGUUCGGCCACAACAUCAGAACUGGAAUUAGAUGGAGCAACUGGCUGAACAUAAUUUUGUAACUCUGGAGUAUCAGAAGAUGACUUCUGAUGGAUGUAGGCUAUAACAAUGAUAUAGUCACCUGUAGAAUUUUAAAUCACUCUAUCAACAUCCACUAGAAUUUCAAGAAAAGAUAAUGCUUAUGAGUGGAAUUUUUCCAUCAAGCAUACUAUCAAACUGUCCAACAGCUUGCAAAAAAUUCAUUCCAUGAUUGAGCAUUGUAGUAAUAUUUGUUGGCAGCUGUGGUCCUGUGUCCUGAUCCAAAUAGCAAUACAUGAGAACAUAAAGCUAUAAGGUUAAAAUAGUUCACAGAAGAAAAUGGUGUUGUUAAAAUUCUUUAACCCUGAAAUUUGAGUAAGAAAAACAAACCAUGGAAAUAUUAAUCCUCCCCAGUACUCCCUCCCCAUUUAGCAGAAAGUUUGCUUGAGGUGGAGUCACAAUACAAGAGGAUGUGCUUAUAUUAUCUAUUUGAGCAACAAACAGGCCAAUUUCCACUUGCACAGGAGCCAGAGUCUUUUUUAAGAUGUGAAAGUCUGUCAUAAUAGUUCUAUAUCCAGGCUACCAAAAUAUGAGGAGAACGGUAAGAAAUUUAGUUAAAAAUAUGCAUGUAUAUGCAUGCCUGUGUAAGUAGUUACUUGUUUAGAAACCUACCUUGACCUUAAGAGACACAAGCACAUGGCCCAUUUUUAUUUUUGGAUAGAAUCUGUGAGCAUAUGCAAACGCACAGAGAAGUGAUCAAUAAACUUCCAUCAAUGGAACUGAGUAAAGAAUUGCAUUUUCGAAAUUCCAUUUGCUACAGUGAAUAUAAAAGCAUCAUAUAUUCAAUUGGUGAUCACUGAACAAGUGAAAUUUUGAACCUCAUAUGAUGCUGGACAUCCAAAAAUUUCUACAACAAAGCCUACUGAGUAUGAGAAUUCUAUACCUAUCCAUGAUUCUUGAAAUAAUGGAAACAGCAUAGUUGGGUUCAACAUUCACAUCCUCAACAUUAGUGAAAAUUUUCCCGACCUAAGUACAAAAAACUCAUAUAAAACAGGAAGAAAUAUGAGGUACAAUGAAGAAUCCCCGCCAAAGAGGAAAAUUAAGAAAUAAAUUUGCACAAACCUCCUUAGCCAGAGUAAGAAGGUUGACAAUAUCUUUAUCUGGAAACCAUCCCAUCUUGCAAGCAUUCUUGACAGAAAUCAUAAGCACCAUGACUGCUGCUUGAAUGGAGAAAGCAUCACAUUGCUUAUAAACCUGUCUGAGCAAAAAUGGCAGUUCUUGAGCUCUUGGUGGUACCUCAUUGUAUGCAACUGCAUAAUCGAUGACUCUUGCCAAAUAAAUGCAGAGAUCGGACAAUUGAGUGGGGUCGGUAGGCUGAUCAGAAGUCAUUUUUAACGCUAAUAUAUCGGCCACUUUCCCCACCAAAAGCGACGCGGCCAUGCCAGGGCUCAGGUCACCUGGUACACUCCUCUCUGCUCUUUCCAGUCCCUCCAUUUGUCUCUAAACAGCCAGCUUCUUCAUGCACAUUAAGCAAAGACCGCAACUUUCUGGUUUCUCA
rnacentral:misc_RNA from 1 species